rnacentral:rRNA from 1 species
UACGUAGGGUGCAAGCGUUAAUCGGAAUUACUGGGCGUAAAGCGUGCGUAGACGGUUAUGUAAGUCAGAUGUGAAAGCCCCGGGCUUAACCUGGGAAUGGCAUUUGAGACUGCAUAGCUAGGGUGCGGAAGAGGGAAGCGGAAUUUCCGGUGUAGCGGUGAAAUGCGUAGAUAUCGGAAGGAACACCAGUGGCGAAAGCGGCUUCCUGGUCCAGCACCGACGUUCAGGCACGAAAGCGUGGGAAGCAAACAGG